rnacentral:tRNA from 1 species
AGUUAAUAAGUUUUAUUAAACAUAUAUUUUGAAAAUAUAAAAAAGGAAUUAAAUCUCCUAUUAGCUU